rnacentral:rRNA from 1 species
CGAAAUUGCAUUACGAGUAAAGAUGCUCGUUACGCGCAGAAGGACGGAAAGACCCCGUGACCUUUACUAUAGUUUGGUAUUGGUAUUCGGUGUGACUUGUGUAGGAUAGGUGGGAGACUGUGAAGCGGGCACGCCAGUGUUCGUGGAGUCGCCGUUGAAAUACCACUCUGGUCACUCUGGAUAUCUAACUUCGGCCCGUGAUCCGGGUCAGGGACAGUGCCUGAUGGGUAGUUUAACUGGGGCGGUUGCCUCCCAAAAUGUAACGGAGGCGCCCAAAGGUUCCCUCAGCCUGGUUGGCAAUCAGGUGUCGAGUGCAAGUGCACAAGGGAGCUUGACUGUGAGAGUGGCAGCUCGAGCAGGGACGAAAGUCGGGACUAGUGAUCCGGCGGCUCGUUGUGGAACGGCCGUCGCUCAACGGAUAAAAGGUACCUCGGGGAUAACAGGCUGAUCUUGCCCAAGAGUCCAUAUCGACGGCAUGGUUUGGCACCUCGAUGUCGGCUCGUCGCAUCCUGGGGCUGGAGUAGGUCCCAAGGGUUGGGCUGUUCGCCCAUUAAAGCGGUACGCGAGCUGGGUUCAGAACGUCGUGAGACAGUUCGGUCCCUAUCCUCUGCGCGCGUUGGAAAUUUGAGAAGGUCUGUCCUUAGUACGAGAGGACCGGGACGGACGAACCUCUGGUAUGUCAGUUGUACCGCCAGGUGCAUGGCUGAUUAGCUACGUUCGGGAUGGAUAACCGCUGAAAGCAUCUAAGCGGGAAGCCGGCUUCGAGAUGAGAUUUCCUUGCCCCUUUGAGGGUGUGAGGCCCCCAGCUAGAACACUGGGUUGAUAGGCUGGAUGUGGAAGCGAGGACUGAAGACUCGUGAAGCUGACCAGUACUAAUAGGCCGAUGACUUACACACA